CCUACGGGUGGCAGCAGUGAGGAAUAUUGGUCAAUGGCCGGAAGGCUGAACCAGCCAAGUCGCGUGAGGGACGACUGCCCUAUGGGUUGUAAACCUCUUUUAUAAGGGAAUAAAGUGUGGGACGUGUCCUGUUUUGUAUGUACCUUAUGAAUAAGGAUCGGCUAACUCCGUGCCAGCAGCCGCGGUAAUACGGAGGAUCCGAGCGUUAUCCGGAUUUAUUGGGUUUAAAGGGUGCGUAGGCGGCCUUUUAAGUCAGCGGUGAAAGUCUGUGGCUCAACCAUAGAAUUGCCGUUGAAACUGGGAGGCUUGAGUAUGUUUGAGGCAGGCGGAAUGCGUGGUGUAGCGGUGAAAUGCUUAGAUAUCACGCAGAACCCCGAUUGCGAAGGCAGCCUGCCAAGCCAUGACUGACGCUGAUGCACGAAAGCGUGGGGAUCAAACAGGAUUAGAUACCCUUGUAGUC
rnacentral:rRNA from 1 species